GCGCGCAAGCUAGCAGCAAACCAGAGGGACAGACAGAGAGACACUAGGAGAGAGACCCGGAGAAAGAGAAGCAGCCGAGCUCUGUAAGGGCUCAGCCUCCAACUUGUCUCAGUUCAUUUAUCCUUCUCUCCUCCACGCUUCGGGGAAGUGACUGUGGCGCUCGGUCUCUCCUAAGUUGGUGCCUAAGAAGAUGAUAAUCACACAAAUGAGUCACUACUACACGACCAGCCUUGGGAUUCUUUUCCUGAUUAAUAUUCUCCCUGAAACCAGUGGUCAAGGGGAAUCAAGACGACAAGAACCUGGGGAUUUUGUGAAGCAGGAUAUUGGCGGACUCUCUCCUAAGCAUGCCCCAGAUAUUCCUGAUGACAGCACCGACAACAUCACUAUCUUCACCAGAAUCUUGGAUCGUCUUCUGGAUGGCUAUGACAACCGGCUGAGACCUGGGC